rnacentral:rRNA from 1 species
CAGAGGUGGCAAGCGUUGUUCGGAAUUACUGGGCGUAAAGGGCGCGUAGGCGGUCUUGUAAGUCCCGCGUGAAAUCCCCCGGCUCAACUGGGGAACUGCGUGGGAAACUGCGAGGCUUGAGUUCGGGAGAGGGAAGCGGAAUUCCGGGUGUAGCGGUGAAAUGCGUAGAUAUCCGGAGGAACACCGGUGGCGAAGGCGGCUUCCUGGACCGACACUGACGCUGAGGCGCGAAAGCUAGGGGAGCAAACGGGAUUAGAUACCCCGGUAGUCCUAGCUGUAAACGAUGAGUGCUGGGUGUAGGGGGUAUCAACCCCCCCUGUGCCGAAGCUAACGCAUUAAGCACUCCGCCUGGGGAGUACGGUCGCAAGGCUG